rnacentral:rRNA from 2 species
GGGGAAUAUUGCACAAUGGGGGAAACCCUGAUGCAGCGACGCCGCGUGGAGGAAGAAGGUUUUCGGAUUGUAAACUCCUGUCGUUAGGGACGAUAAUGACGGUACCUAACAAGAAAGCACCGGCUAACUACGUGCCAGCAGCCGCGGUAAAACGUAGGGUGCAAGCGUUGUCCGGAAUUACUGGGUGUAAAGGGAGCGCAGGCGGGAAGACAAGUUGGAAGUGAAAACCAUGGGCUCAACCCAUGAAUUGCUUUCAAAACUGUUUUUCUUGAGUAGUGCAGAGGUAGAUGGAAUUCCCGGUGUAGCGGUGGAAUGCGUAGAUAUCGGGAGGAACACCAGUGGCGAAGGCGGUCUACUGGGCACCAACUGACGCUGAGGCUCGAAAGCAUGGGUAGCAAACAGGAUUAGAUACCCUGGUAGUCCAUGCCGUAAACGAUGAUUACUAGGUGUUGGGGGAUUGACCCCCUCAGUGCCGCAGUUAACACAAUAAGUAAUCCACCUGGGGAGUACGACCGCAAGGUUGAAACUCAAAGGAAUUGACGGGGGCCCGCACAAGCAGUGGAGUAUGUGGUUUAAUUCGAAGCAACGCGAAGAACCUUACCAGGUCUUGACAUCCGAUGCAUAGCACAGAGAUGUGUGAAAUCCUUCGGGACAUCGAGACAGGUGGUGCAUGGUUGUCGUCAGCUCGUGUCGUGAGAUGUUGGGUUAAGUCCCGCAACGAGCGCAACCCUUAUUGCCAGUUACUACGUUAAGAGGACUCUGGCGAGACUGCCGUUGACAAAACGGAGGAAGGUGGGGAUGACGUCAAAUCAUCAUGCCCUUUAUGACCUGGGCUACACACGUACUACAAUGGCGUUAAACAAAGAGAAGCAAGACCGCGAGGUGGAGCAAAACUCAAAAACAACGUCUCAGUUCAGAUUGCAGGCUGCAACUCGCCUGCAUGAAGUCGGAAUUGCUAGUAAUCGCGGAUCAGCAUGCCGCGGUGAAUACGUUCCCG